rfam:Triticum aestivum genome assembly, contig: Triticum_aestivum_CS42_TGACv1_scaffold_273022_3DS
CAUAUACUCCCUCCGUUCAGAAUUACUUGUCGCAGAAAUGGAUGUAUUUAGACGUAUUUUAGUUCUAGAUACAUCCAUUUCCGAGACAAGCAGUUCCGAACAGAGGGAGUAGAAA